rnacentral:rRNA from 1 species
AACGAACGCUGGCGGCAUGCCUAACACAUGCAAGUCGAACGAGACCUUCGGGUCUAGUGGCGCACGGGUGCGUAACGCGUGGGAACCUGCCCUUAGGUUCGGAAUAACUCCCCGAAAGGGGUGCUAAUACCGGAUAAUGUCUUCGGACCAAAGAUUUAUUGCCUUUGGAUGGGCCCGCGUUGGAUUCGCUAGUUGGUAGGGUAAAAGCCUACCAAGGCGACGAUCCAUAGCUGGUCUGAGAGGAUGAUCAGCCACACUGGGACUGAGACACGGCCCAGACUCCUACGGGAGGCAGCAGUGGGGAAUAUUGGACAAUGGGCGAAAGCCUGAUCCAGCAAUGCCGCGUGAGUGAUGAAGGCCGUAGGGUUGUAAAGCUCUUUUACCCGGGAUGAUAAUGACAGUACCGGGAGAAUAAGCUCCGGCUAACUCCGUG